UCUGCUCAAUGAUUUUUUAAAUUGCUGUGGUAUUUUGACUAUACGAAGGUAUUGAAAUAAGGCUUUAAUUGGGUGCUAAGAGAAUGGUUUAACAGAGAUUAUCUUUUUUCUUAUUUAAAUUAGAAGUUAAUUUGAAAGUGAAGAAGCUUUUAUAAGAAUUUGGGACAAGAAGACCCUAUGAAUUUUUUCGGAGGUUAUUUUUUGUAUUUGUUUGGAAGAUGGAAUUUGAGUAAUUUUUGAUUGAUUGGGGCGAUUUUUAAAUUUAGGUAACUUUAAAAGUGUUUUAUUGGAUCCAAUAUUAUUGAUAGGUUGAAUAAAAUACUCUAGGGAUAACAGCGUUAUUGCUUUGGAUAGUUCAUAUAGAUAAAGUAGAUUGCGACCUCGAUGUUGGAUUAGGAUACCUUUACCUAAUGAAGAAGUGGUAAUAGGGGGUUUGCUCAACCUUUGAAUUCCUACUUGAUCUGAGUUCAGACCGGA
rnacentral:rRNA from 1 species